rnacentral:rRNA from 1 species
AUUGAACGCUGGCGGCAGGCCUAACACAUGCAAGUCGAGCGGAACGGCGGGCGGGUGAGUAAUACCUAGGAAUCUGCCUGGUCGUGAGGGAUAACGUUCGGAAACAGACGCUAAUACCGCAUACUAUCAGAUGAGCCUAGGUCGGAUUAGCUAGUUGGUGAGGUAAUGGCUGACCAAGGCUACGAUCCGUCACUGGUCUGAGAGGAUGAUCAGUCACACUGGAACUGAGACACGGCCCAGACUCCUACGGGAGGCAGCAGUGGGGAAUAUUGGACAAUGGGCGAAAGCCUGAUCCAGCCAUGCCGCGUGUGUGAAGAAGGUCUUAGGAUUGUAAAGCACUUUCAGUUGGGAGGCGUUACCGACAGAAUAAGCACCGGCUAACUCCGUGCCAGCAGCCGCGGUAAUUC